GGUCAAGCUACUAAGGGCGCGCGGUGAAUGCCUUGGUAUCACGGGCCGAAGAAGGGCGUGGCAAGACUGCGAUAAGCCUCGGUCAGCCGUCUAACAGGCGUAGCCGGGGAUUCCCGAAUGAGGCAACUCACCUGGAGUCAUGUCCAGGUAUCGCGGAUCGAACACAUAGAUCCGAUGAGGGGAACCCAGGGAACUGAACCAUCUAAGUACCUGGAGGAAUAGAAAUCAUUCCGUUAGUAGCGGCGAGCGAACGCGGAACAGCCCAAACCGUCAAUGACCGAACGGCCGGCAGGCCUAUGCAUUGAGCGGGGUUAUACGACUGCGCAGUAGACUCUGCCGCGUCUGCAGGGAGUGACAAAGCACCGGCGUAACAGAAGGACCCUGGAACGGGCCACCACAGAGGGUGAGAGUCCCGUACGCAAAACGCUGGGUGCCUCCCGUGCAUGUUCGUGAGUACCACGGAACACGUGAAAUUCCGUGGGAAUUCAGGCGGACCACCGUCUAAGGCUAAAUACCCGUGAUGACCGAUAGUGAACAAGUACCGUGAGGGAAAGGUGAAAAGCACCCCGGGAGGGGAAUGAAAUAGUCCCUGAAACCGCGUGCCUACAAGCAGUCGAAGCACGACUUGUGCGUGUGACGGCGUGCCUAUUGAAGAAUGAGCCAACGAGUUACUUCUCAGUGGCAAGGUUAAGUCAGGGGACUGACGGAGCCGGAGCGAAAGCGAGUCUGAAUAGGGCGGCAAGUCGCUGGGAGUAGACCCGAAACCGGGUGAUCUAUCCAUGGCCAGGGUGAAGCGGGAGUGAUGUCUCGUGGAGGCCCGAACCUUCUAACGUUGCAAAGUUAUUGGAUGAGCUGUGGAUAGCGGAGAAAUUCCAAUCGAACCCGGAGAUAGCUGGUUCUCCUCGAAAUGCAUUUAGGUGCAGCCUCGAGUGAUUUUAUCCACCGGAGGUAGAGCUCUGAAUGGGCUAGGGGGUUAAUCGCCUACCAAACCCAAUCAAACUGCGAAUGCCGGUGGAAGAAACUCGGGAGUGAGUCCGCGGGAGCUAAGUUUCGCGGUCGAGAGGGAAACAACCCAGACCACCAGCUAAGGCCCCUAAGUUCUGGCUAAGUGUCAAAGGAUGUUGAGUUGCCCAGACAACCAGGAUGUUGGCUCAGAAGCAGCCACCAUUUAAAGAGUGCGUAAUAGCUCACUGGUCGAGUGGCUCUGCGCCGACAAUGUACCGGGGCUCAAGCCAGACGCCGAAGCUGUGGACUCUCCGCAAGGGGAGUGGUAGAGGAGCGUUGCGUUCAGCUGUGAAGGUGCAGGGGUGACCCGUGCUGGAGCGGACGCAAGUGAGAAUGUUGGCAUGAGUAGCGUAAUGGCGAUGAGAAUUCGCCACACCGUAAACCUAAGGUUUCCUACGGAAGGUUUAUCCGCGUAGGGUUAGUCGGGCCUAAGCCGAGGGCGAACGCCGUAGGCGAUGGACAGCAGGUUAGUAUUCCUGCACCACGUGCGUAGCGUUUUAAGGCACAGGGGGGACCCGGGAAGAUAGGUGGAGCGGACCCAUUGGACAUGGUCCGUCUCUGGAGCGUAGGCGUCUGGCGGCAGGUAAAUCCACUGCCAGGUCAAGCGGAGGCUCCGGGGGAAGCGGCGACUUCGGUCAAAGCGAUUCUGCUGAGUCUAUGCCGGCAAGAAAAGCCUCGGUGCUAGCGACGCAGGUGCCCGUACCGCAAACCGACACUGGUAGGUGGGGGUAAGUACCCCGAGGUGAUCGAGAGAACCUUCGUUAAGGAACUCGGCAAUUUAGCUCCGUAACUUCGGAAGAAGGAGCACCCCUGAGGGUGAGUGGACUUGCUCCACGAGCGCCCGGGGGUCGCAGCGAGCUGGCUCAGGCGACUGUUUAACAAAAACAUAGGUCUCUGCUAACCCGUAAGGGGAUGUAUAGGGGCUGACGCCUGCCCAGUGCUGGAAGGUUAAGGGGAGGGCUUCACGGCCUGAACCGAAGCCCCAGUGAACGGCGGCCGUAACUAUAACGGUCCUAAGGUUAACGAUUCGCUAGCCUUAGUAAAAUCUGGCUAUUUGCUGGAAACUCUGAGUAUCCCACGCUACGCGAGCGCAAGUUCGCGUGAAAAUGCGCUGGGUGCAGACAAUCAGCAGGAAAGGUCAGUAGGAGGUGACGCUUGGUUAA
rnacentral:rRNA from 1 species